CCAGGACCUAGGGAGGCGGGCCGAGGGCGAGGAAGCUGCGGCCCGUGGCGGUCCUGGGCUGGAGGAAGUGGCGGUCGCUGCGGCUGCGGCGCAAAGACGGCGGGCAUGGUGGGGCGAGAAAAGGAGCUCUCUAUCCACUUUGUUCCCGGGAGCUGCCGGCUAGUGGAGGAGGAAGUUAACCUCCCCAGUAGGCGGGUUUUGAUUACUGGUGCCACUGGGCUUCUGGGCAGAGCUGUGUAUAAAGAAUUUAAGCAGAAUAAUUGGCAUGCCUUUGGCUGUGGUUUUAGAAGAGCAAGACCAAAAUUUGAACAGGUUAAUCUUUUGGAUUCUGAAGCGGUUCAUCACAUCAUUCAUGAUUUUCAGCCCCAUGUCAUAGUACAUUGUGCAGCAGAGAGAAGGCCAGAUGUUGUUGAAAAUCAGCCAGAUGCUGCUUCGCAACUUAACGUGGAUGCUUCUGGGAAUUUAGCAAAGGAAGCAGCUUUAAUUGGAGCAUUUCUAAUCUACAUUAGCUCAGAUUAUGUAUUUGAUGGAACAAAUCCACCUUACAGAGAGGAAGAUGUACCAAGUCCCCUAAAUCUGUAUGGCAAAACAAAAUUAGAAGGAGAAAAGGCUGUCCUAGAGAACAAUUUAGGAGCUGCUGUUUUGAGAAUUCCUGUUUUGUAUGGAGAAGUCGAAAAGCUUGACGAAAGUGCUGUGACUGUUAUGUUUGAUAAAGUGCAGUUCAGUAACAAGUCUGCAAACAUGGACCACUGGCAGCAGAGGUUCCCCACACACGUCAAAGAUGUAGCCACUGUGUGUCGCCAGUUAGCAGAAAAGAGGAUGCUGGAUCCAUCAAUUAAAGGAACCUUUCACUGGUCUGGCAAUGAACAGAUGACUAAGUAUGAAAUGGCAUGUGCAAUCGCAGAUGCUUUCAAUCUCCCCAGCAGUCACUUAAGACCUAUAACUGACAGUCCUGUCUUAGGAGCACAACGUCCAAGAAAUGCUCAGCUUGACUGCUCCAAAUUAGAGACCUUGGGCAUUGGCCAGCGAACACCAUUUCGAAUUGGAAUCAAAGAAUCACUCUGGCCUUUCCUUAUUGACAAGAGAUGGAGACAAACGGUCUUUCAUUAGUCUACUGACUUUCCAUCUGUGGCAGAACCCAAUGUAGAUCAGAUCCUGUUACCUGCAGUCAACCGCGAUCCAGAAGCAGAUGAUCCUCCUUCUGACAUAUGGUCAGAAGGACAGUAGUAGCCUAAUGUUACGUCCCAAUGCCUACGUCAUUCACCUCACUUCAUCUCAUCACAUAGGCAUUUUCUCAUCUAUCAUCACAAGAAGAAGGACUCCUCUUCACUUCCUUAAGAUUAGAAAUCCUGAUUUGGCUAACUGAUCUGGUCAGUAAUGAGCACCAAAUACUGACUGGGAGACUCAGGUAAUUGGCAGUUGAUCAAUUGGCACGAUCCUGAUGGGCUGUUUUGGCCCAACCUUCUGUGUGACAGAGCUCCAGGAAGAGGGAACCUAGAGGAGAUUCCAGAGGCCUAGGAAUUGACCGAGUCACAAGAUGGAAGGACCCUUGUUCUCUAAAUCUCCAUGUGGAGGAGAGUGGCCUACUCACCAGGAACACUUUCAUGGGAUGUAACAGUUUUAUUUUUAAAAGCAGCUGGCAUUACCCUAAGGAAUACAGUUGGAGAGGCAAGUUGGGACAAUGUCCUUGCCUAUAUUUGUGUUUGGCGUUUCCAUAGUCCAGAUGAUGUUGUAUCCAGAUGCUAAUGUCCAGAUGCCCCAGCAAUUGAUAUACUUAUAUAAGUUAAGCUACAGGAUCCUAUUCCUUUGCCACUUUAUUUACUAGCAAACGUUUAAAAUGGAAUGCUCUUCUUUGUCUGAACACGUACUAUCAAAGUUUUUCAUCUACCGAGAGUGGUAGAAAACAUAACUAACAAGUCUUAUUUCUUUUAGAACUAUUUUGGUAUGUCUCAAAAUAUGGGAUAUUUUGGUGUAUUCUCAAUGUCAUUGGUACUAGCCUCUCACACCUAAACUAUCAUCUGGCUUUCCCUAACAUAGUUCUUUGAUUUCAUUGAGAACAGCCCUUUGUCAGACUUAGGUGGCAUAUAUACUAAUCAUAGUUUAAUUGGUCUCUCCUGGUCUGUGUUGGUACAGGUGUGAUGCAAAUAAAACAUAUAUGUGCAAUGGAAGUGAUUGGAAUUAUGGUCAACUGACAGGAGCCAUCAGCCUUUCAGUGCUCGAAUAGCUGGUUUAUUGGAUAAGACAGGACAAUUACCACAACUGGCCUGUCAAGAUGGUUAGAGCUCCCUACAGGUAUUGAGGCAGGUGUUUGUGCCUUCAGUUUAAUCUCUUCCUUUCUGGUUCCAGGCUGGUUGCAGCUCUUGGCACCAGCAGAAGUGUUUAUACAGAAAUGAGGGUCACCUGGAUGCCCAGCCCAGUGGAUCUGUGUGCUCAUUGCCAAACAAGGCAUGAGCUCCCUGUAAUGCAAGCUCGAUUUCUCUGGGGUAAAGGAGCCGGUGCCAAAGGUGGACAUGGAAGAAGGAGACAGUGGGGAUCUGCACAUGAAUGAAGAGACCUGACUGUGGAGUAUUAGAGGAUUUAUUAAAGGAUUGGAUAGUUUUCCUUUAUGGUCUUUGUGAAGCCUCGGAGUUACUAACUGCCAGUGCAAUAUGGUAUCACAAAGAUAACAGCCUUUACUAAAAGUUCAGUUUUCUAUUCCUACCUUGGAAAGCAGCAGCUUAACAAACCCAAGUGGUCAACGUUUAUGGUACUCCUGUCUUUCUUCUAGGACCCUUUGAAAUAUAUGUCUUUUGAAUUUAGUUUUGCUGGAAAAAUCUGCAUCCAAUUUGAAUGAAAUUGAAUAUGUUUCAGGGCUCAAGCAGCAUGCCUUCCAUCUGAAGCAAAAUGGAGAUGAAUUUCAAUUAGAUGUUCCCAUUAUAAUCUGUCUCCACCUGUAGUUUUCCAUAAAAAUUGCUAGGAAGUGUGGUAUAAUGUAUGAUCAGGAUUUGCCCACUGGCAUCAGUGUCCCAUUAUCUUAGUAAAAAAGCACAAAAUAAUUAGUCUGAUGCAUAUAGAUAGCAGCUUCUUACAGCGAGUGACUUUAAUUGUGGUGAGUAAUAUAUACGGAGUUUGAAGUAUUAUAUAUUUCCCUCCCAAGAAGAUACCAAUUACUAAUUCAGUUGACAAAGUAACGAUAUUUCAGAAGAUUUAAUGCAAACUGAACAUUGUAGUCAAUAGCCACUGUAAAAUGUCCAUUUUAUGGCCUUAUUUUUGCUUGAGCUUAAUUUAUGGUAAUUUGGUAGUUGCAUAUAGCCUGGAAGUAUGCUGUUGGCUUGAAUUAGUACUUGGGUAUUGCAUAAAUCAUACUGAAUGUGUUGGCUUCAUCUAAUGCCUUUCUUUCUCCUACAGUUGGAAUCCUUCUUAUCUUGUCAUUUCUCUCCCCUCAAUCCUACCUGUAAAUUCAUGGGGCUCUAAGAGCUCAGUAUUUAGGAGAUCACUUCCUCAUAGAGUAGCAUCUUCCAAAGCCAGAUAGAGUUCUGUGCUUCACAGGGAGGGAAUUUAGCAAAAAAUUUUUUUGUGGGAUAGAGUAUUUGUAUUAUCCCACCUUAAGUGCUUUAAAGGAAAAUACAAUUCCCUCUCCCUGUCCUAUUUGCCUCUAAAAUCCAUGCUAAUAUAAAAGGCAAGGUUUAAAAGUAUUAUAUUAUUUGAACUAAUUUUUCCAGUGCUGGUUUAUAUUAGUUUUUUCAAUUUUGUUUUUUAAUCUGAAACAUAGGACAAAUAUGCCAGCAUGCUCUAAGCUCACAGGUAAUCUACCUGGGGACCUAAAUAAUAUGAAUCAUCCAACUCUAUGGUAAGAUUUAGUUUAGGUGACUGGUCUUCAAAGAAACACAUUGGAUGUUUCAGAACUAAUGAGAUAAUUGCCUAUGUUCUGCUGUUCUUUUAUACUUGUUGAUAAAGAUUUUGAAGUUUUAGUUGUGGUUAGUCAUUUUUAAAAAUGAUUAAAAAUUUUAAGUCAAUAAAUGUCACAUAGACAUCUAAUUGUGAGCAACCUCAUUUUAAAUGUUGUAGGAAACCAUGUUUUAAAAUGUAGGUUCUUCUCUUGAACCCAUAAAAUCAUAAUACAAUAUUGACAUCUCUUCCUAAGUUGGAUAACAAUAUUCUUCUAAUUUAGUUACACAACUCUCUUCCUUUACUUACAAUCAUAAUAGUUGACAUCUGUACAUAAAUUAUACAGAACUUUUAUAGGCAUUACCAGUUUUAACCCACAUAUCACCCCCCCAUGUUGUAAGCAUUAUUAUCUACAAUUUAAAUGAAGAAACAAGCAAAUUUAAAAUGGUAUAUUUUCUAAUUAUAAAAUGACAAAUGUUUAUUGUAGGAAAUCUCAAAAGUGUCAAAAGUACACAGGUGUUGCUGGUAAGACUGACCAAACAACAAUAUAGAAAGGACACAAAUUACCAAUAGCAUGAAUAAAAUAAGUCGAUAUCACUACAGACCCCACAGA